UUCAUCCCCUUUCUGAGUUUGACGAGGACAAGCGGAGUUCUAGAAGGAGGCUUGCUGGGCAUAAUCGGCGUAGUAGGAAAACUCAACCAGACUAUGUCGGCUCGAGACUUGUGCUCCCUGGAGAUCAAGACAAUAAAAUUAAUGGACACUUGGAUAUCUUUAACUUGUUGGCUGUUGUGGCUCACGCUCAAGAGAAAAGCGGUGGCAAAACUAUGAGUUGCUCUCUUUUACUGGACAAAGAACAGCUCCUUCAGAUUCUUAGCAAGAUAAAUUCACUGCCUUUGGGAAGAAUUCAGCUGCCAAGGAAUAUUCAAUCAUUCGCACGGUCCUAUGGUCAUUUGUUUAAACCCCGACAACCAUUUUUCUGCCUUGGAAUUCUUUCACUUUUGGGAAAAGUGAAUCUCUAUUUCAUUGAUGAUCUGCCCCUACUUUCGUCUCCUCUGAUCAUCUUCGGCGUGUCCAAUCAUCUAUGGUGUCUCCAAAGUCAUUGUUCGGCUCUGCCUUAUCGUCUACUACUCCGUUCUUGAAUCUUUUUGUACUCUUCUCUUCUACAUUGCCUGGGCCUAAUUUGCUAGAGAAGUUUUCUGCUAUAAUUAGUUUUUGAGAAAAUUUAUAAAUCACCCGAAAGACGAACAACCAAGACCACUUCUCCUCCCUGAAAUUGAUGUUUCUCCUCGCCACUCCAUAGACAGCUCACUGAAGCUCUUUUCCUGAGACACACACAAGCACGCACUCACACCUCUCGGCUUCUCCUCAUUAGUCUCCAAACAGUCCAGACUUUAGAUCUUUGGAUGGGGCUCGUGGGUCUUGUGAAAAUGACGGGCUCAGGGUCGUUUGUGGCUCGUUCUCGCGAAAGGGGUGGGUGGCUCGGUAUUGCAGAGAGGUCGUAGGUGGCUCGGUCUCGCAGAGGGGUCCGAGCCCCCUCUUCUUUCUUCUUGAAAUUUUGGCCAUAUCUGUAUUCGGUACAGAGUUCUGAACCACAAUAAAACUACUAUUAACCAGAACAUUCAUGUUCUUGGUUUUUGUUUCUCAAGCAAGUAAAAAAGCCUUGGAUCCAGUUGCUCCAGUUUAUAAGUACUGCCUUGUAUCAAUAUCUAACUUAUUAACUUCAACAUGCCAAAAUGAGGUUAGCUGUCUCCAUUUUCAGCGUUAAAGUCUAGUUGGUAUGAGACGCGUGGUUGCAAAGUUUUUCAAUUGUAAGCUUAUUUUAUAUUUAUACUGUUGAUACAUUCAAGUAACUAGCCUUUUUUUUUUUUGCACGCCUUCAAAUAUGUCAAUUUUCCUGUUCAGAUACAUGUUAUGAUUAUGGGACUAGUAAUGAUAUGAAAAAGGUUCUCGUUCACAUAAUUAAAUAGUUGGGGAUAUUGUGUCAAUGAUCUUUUCUCAUACACUUAUUAUGGCAUUUAUUGUCAAUUGUUCAGGUUCCCUCUCCUCUUACAAAACAUUUUCUUUGGUGGAACUUUUGCUUUUUCCUGGUACAUAGUCAACUGAGCUAUUUCUUUAUGUCUUGACAGAACCAAUGAAGAGAAACUCAUGUAAAUUGUCAAUUAAGCUAUCCUACUACUGUAUACUCUGCCUUUUGGAAUUGUUUUUUAAUCUUUAAUCCUUUUUGGGUUCUUUUUGUUAGUGACAGCAUAUUUGGAUAAUUAAAUUACUAGUACCAUAUUUGUAAAGGUUAGUUUUCUUUACAGUUGCAUAUUAUAAACCAAUCUUUAGAGCGUGACAUAGUAUGUGCCUAUACUGUGGUUGUUGCUGUUGUUGUCAGUGGAUUUUGCAGUAAAUUUCAUAGACCUUCUCUUGUGAUUUUUAGUAUAUAUCUAAAUAAUUAAUGUAUGAUUUGAGGGUUCUAAGUUGAAAUGGAAUAUGCAGGGUCGGUGUGAAAUUGCCCACUAUCAAGGUGAGGUAUAAAUAUAUAAGAGUUGAAGCAGAAUGUGAGGUUGUUCAUGGGAAGCCUCUGCCAACUCUAUGGAAUUCUUUUAAAAGCCUGAUUUCUAUGAGUUAUUUCAAUUAUGGUUAAUGACUGAGCAUGGUUUAUUAAGAUCAACCCAACCUGGUUGUCCAUAUGAUCUUGACUAAUUAUCUUAUCUUACAACAUUAUUAUUACAGGGGUUGACAAAGAUUCCAGGUUUAUGUUUAGGUAAAGCCAAGAUCAACUUAUUUAAAGAUGUUAGCAGUGUCAUAAAGCCUGGAAGGUGAGGGAUGAAAUCGAACAUCUUUUGGAUGACAAUGAAGAUAUGGCACAUUUGUACUUAACAAGGAAGUGGAUCCAGAAUCAACAAUCUGAAGCUUUGUUGGGAGGUUCUGGUUCAAAUAACAUCAACACCAUUGCUACUCAUCUUCCUCGGAUUAGUUCUAGGAGAAGUGGGUGUUUGGUGAGCAACCACUUGGAUGAUAAUGAUGUUGAAGAUCUGGAGAUGUUGCUUGAGGCAUAAUUUAUGCAGCUGGAUAGAACACGAAACAAGAUAUUGUCUGUGAGUGCUAUUUCUGAUCCUAGCAAUUUAAACAUGAUAUUUCUGCCAAGUUUUAUUUAAAGUACAUGGAAGUGUAACACUAAGUUUCAUGUAAGCUGUAAUUCUGCAAGCAUUUAGCAUUUUGUGCUUUAUGUUACAUGAAAUUUUGAUUGUUUGUCUACUUCUGGGAUGACAUGACUAUGAGAAUUUUAAAUCUGUGGGAAGUACAAGUUGGAGCUAACUAAACCCUUAGGUGAAUCAACAAAUUCGAGGGUUUGAUUCUCAUUUUAGUUGUUCUGUAACUUUUUUCUGAACUCAAGGGGUUGUCAACUCAUGACAAGUCACUAUGUAUAUUUUCCUGUUCAUUUAUUAUUAUAUAUGUUUUGAUUCACUUAUAUGUAUUUGUAGGUUUGAAUGUUGAAUUUGAUUCACUAUAACAUAUAUGUUGUGUAUGUCUCGCAAUGUGGUUAUCUAGGCUAUCAAAAAGUGGUUAAAACAGCUAGUGACCAUGACUGUUUUAACAAGAUUCCUCAAGUUCACUUACUUUGGUUCAGCUGCAGAGUUAGUUAAGUUGAUUUUUUAGUUUUGUUUUCGGGUUGGUUCUUUUGUAUUUUUGUGCACGUAUAUAAGUGAACCUUGCAUCAUUAUUUAUUUACACAAAUUUAGAGAGCACUAAGAGAAAAAGAAGAGAGAAAGAGAGAGUUCAGUGAGUUAUAGAGGUUGGAGUUCUUGUGAAAAGCUUGUUCAAAGAAAGCUAAAACUGAGAACUUUUCUCUUUGUACUGAAGCCUUGUAAUUAUUCUAGAUUGAUCAUAGUGAAAACUCACAUAGGCCAAUUCCAAUGAACCAUGUAUAUUGUGGUGUUCUUUUGACUACUGUUUCUAUCAUUCAUUAAAGUUUGUGAUUUGUUUCUGUUUCUAGCAUUAUUUCUUGUUUGUGUUUGUUCUUUUUUCGGGUUUGUUUUGUUGGUGUUCUUGGCAUGUUAUUAAAGGGUUCAAUCACUUUCAAUAUCAUCCUAUUAUACUAGGUACACUGACUAUGAUUUCAAGCUAGAUUUCUCGAACGUAAACAUCUUAAAAAACCAUGGUGAAAACAGAAAAGAGUUGGGAUUUCAGAAACUCAGAUGCUAUAAUCGUCACUGGUAUGCUAUAAUCGUCACUCAGAAACCAGGGAAACACCAUCAGUUGCUGUAAUCGUCAAUGGUAUUCCAUUUUCCACAAUGACAGGUCAUAAGAUGUGACAAGCGAAAUAGAAAAGGAUACUUAAUUUUGAAGGUUUUGUGUUGGGCAGCUGCAGAAUAUUUUGUGCUGAAAGUAGUAGAAUAUGUUGAAUAUUUAAGACUAUUUGAAUACUUAAAGAACAUUUUGUUGUUGAUGACAA